GACGAACGCUGGCGGCGUGCUUAACACAUGCAAGUCGAACGGAAGGGCACUGCUUGUGUGCUGUUCUCGGGGGGCGAACGGGGGAGGAACACGAGAGUAACCUGCCCUUGACUUUGGGAUAGCUUCAGGAAACUGGGGCUAAUACCGGAUAGGAGCUCCUGCUGCGGGGUGGGGGUUGGAAAGUUUCGGCGGGUGGGGAUGGACGCGCGGCUGACCAGCUUGUUGGUUGGGGAGUGGUUUGCCGAGGCUUGGACGGGUAGCCGGCCUGAGAGGGUGACCGGCCACAUGGCGACUGCGAUACGGACCAGACUGCUACGUGAGACAGUAGUCGGGAAUAUUGCCCAGUGGGAGCACGUGUGAUGAGGAAGCGUUGGGUGUGGGAAGCCGGCUUGCGGGUUGUAAACCGCUUCAGCCUGUGACGACGCGUGAGUGACGGUACUGGGUAAAGAAGCACCGGCUAACUACGUG
rnacentral:rRNA from 1 species